rnacentral:rRNA from 1 species
UACAGAGGUCCCAAGCGUUGUUCGGAUUCACUGGGCGUAAAGGGUGCGUAGGUGGUCGGGUAAGUCCGAUGUGAAAUCUCCGAGCUCAACUCGGAAACUGCAUCGGAUACUAUUCGGCUCGAGGGUUGGAGGGGGGACUGGAAUACUUGGUGUAGCAGUGAAAUGCGUAGAUAUCAAGUGGAACACCAGUGGCGAAGGCGAGUCCCUGGACAACUCCUGACGCUGAGGCACGAAAGCUAGGGGAGCAAACAGG